AGACCAUGCUUGUUUCGCUCGCACGCACGCGGAAAAAACUCUUCAAAGAAAAAUAUCUGACGAUGUCGAAUGCCGAAGCCAUUUUCACAGAUUUUUCCGGUUCUAUUGCCGUUGAGUUUUUGAAAGGUAUACCGUGACACGGAAGCCAUUUCGCAGUCGAGACGGCCGUUAGACUGCUAACCAAUGAAAGAGCUAGCCUCGUCCCUUCGCCUCUCGGCGGGCCUAUCACUCUCUACUUGGCUACGUCCGCCAUAUUGGAAAGUGUGAGUGCGCGCAAAGUAUCAUGGAGCUGAGCUGACAGCAAGGGAGUAGCCUGGAGACGAGGCUAUGAAAGAGCGCCAGAGAAAGCACCCUCACCGGUCGACGAAAAAGUAGACAAGAGAUUCAAAUGCACACGCACUAAAAAUAAUCAACAACGCAAAGCUAAAAAACAACAACUCUAAUUUUAUUCGAACCGUAGAGGUGAGCCCCCUGUGAUUCGCAGAUUGUAUUCAAGGGUUAUUUUUGUUGUCAACAAGUCACAAGUUCCUUUGUGGUAUCUGCUGACCUCGUGACUGUAACACUCCUCCAUGAACACAAAACAAAAUAGCGGAUCCUACGGAAUUUAUGAACUGCGUUUCAGAUAUUUAGGACAUGCUAUCAGCCUGUUAGGUCUUUUUUAACGGGGGGGCAGGGCUGCUAUGUUUGGAAGGAGGGUUGCAAUUUUUUGAUUAGGGAGAUGGCCUCAAAAUUUGAUACAGGGUUUAGGGGAGGGCCUUAUUUUUAUAACAGGUAUUCUGAUUUCCGAGCCUCCUAAAAAUCUGGAAUUUCAAAUUUUUUUCUGCGGACAACCCCAGACCCCUAACCAUUUUUGUGCUUUAGAUUGGGGUAGGGUCGAAGAACCAGGAAAUAAUAAACUUAGCAGCCCCCCUCCACCAAAAAAAAAUAAUUACCCUUCCCUUAGGUAACGGAUAACUGCACCGAUGAUCAAGUUAUGGAAAAAGUAAUCUAUCCUUUGAAAGUGCAGUACGUUUAUUGAACACAUUUUGCCUGCAGUAAGUUAAAUGAACCGGUUUGGAUUACCCUGGGUAUCAAGAUGCUCCGGGCUUCACUAGAUCAAGUUGGAUAACAAGACUAAACUUAAUCAAAUGGGAUAACAAGACUAAACUAAAUCAAGUGGGAUAACAAGACUAAACUAAAUCAAGUGGGAUAACAAGACUAAACUAAAUCAAGUGGGAUAACAAGACUAAACUAAAUCAAGUGGGAUAACAAGACUAAACUAAAUCAAGUGGGAUAACAAGACUAAACUAAAUCAAGUGGGAUAACAAGACUAACUAAAUCAAUUGGGAUAAUAAGAUCAGUGAUGGGAAUAAUACUUGAAAGCGUGCGGAUAGGGUAUAAAUGAAAGGGAAUGAGGAGGUAGAGAGGUGGUUGUGUGGGAAUUGGUAAGAGUUCCAGUGUGAAAAGAGAGAUGUAAUGGGGCUAUUAGAUUACAUGGGGGUGGUUGAGAUUAUGGUUUAUGAAAUGGCGAGUGAAGGUUAAUACGAGUAAUGGGGUUGACAAUAAAACAGUAUGAGAGAUAAUAAGAGUGUAAAUUAUUUGAAAGGUAAGGAUAUUUUUAUAUGACUUGUAGUUCAGUUGAAAUGUGUGUUGCAUGUAGGGUAAAAAUGUAUUAAUUAAGAUUGUAGAGAGAAAAUAGUGAUAAGGUAGAGUGAGUGUGAAGGUAUGUAUAAAAUGAGGUUUCUAAGUGUGGUAUGAUGAUUGACAGGUGAAAAAUGUUUCGAAAAUGCUUAAAAAACAAGUAUACGUUGGAAGGAAACAUCGUGGAAAACGGUAAACGAUGUGUGUAAAAACGGCAAAAAGAAGAUGAAGCUAGGGCGCGGGAGGCGAUAGGGGGAGUGUGGCGC